ensembl:misc_RNA 7SK 7SK RNA
GGAAGGAAGGAAGGGUGGGCCUUCUAUCACCCCACUGAUUGCCAGGGUUGAUUCGGCUUAUCUGACUGGCCCCUUCCUCACUCACUGAUCCAUGUGUGUCCCUCCCAAAGCUGUGCGCUUGGUCAAAGAGGAUGGCCUUCCCCUAAUAGAGACAGACCAGUGUUCGGUGGAGGAUAUACAAGUAGCUGCAUACCCCUGCUAGAACCUCCAAGCAAGCUCUCAAGGUCCAUUUGUAGAACAUAGGGUACAAGCUUCCAAGAAUACAGACACAUCCAAAUGAGGUGCUGCAUGUAGCUGUCUGCCUUUU